AUCGUAUUGCAGCAAGCCCAACCAGUCCGGACGUACAGACUAACAGACAGGAAUUACAGCCGAAUCUGACUGCAAGUUUGAACAAUGAAUCUAGCAGUUUUGUUUUCUUCACUUGUAAUAUGUUCUCUUGUUGUGUUGGGAGUGACCGAUGCCUGGGGACGUCGAGGACGAGGUGGACGUGGUGGACGCGGUAGACGAUGUGGUCGUAAAGGAUGACGUGUCGACGAAAUCUCUAAUAUUAGCACGAAUUUCAACCUGGCUAUGGAGUUUUGAAGAGAUCAUGGUGAUCUACGACAUCAUAUCUCAUGUACAAUCGCAUGCGUGGAUUAUUCUAUAUGUUUGAUAAACAUACGAGUGCAAUAAACUUAAUA
rnacentral:lncRNA from 1 species